GGUCAAGUGAAGAAGCGCAUACGGUGGAUGCCUUGGCAGUCAGAGGCGAUGAAAGACGUGGUAGCCUGCGAUAAGCUUUGGGGAGUCGGCAAACAGACUGUGAUCCAGAGAUCUCUGAAUGGGGGAACCCACUCAGCACAAGCUGAGUAUCUUGUACUGAAUACAUAGGUGCAAGAGGCGAACCAGGGGAACUGAAACAUCUAAGUACCCUGAGGAAAAGAAAUCAACCGAGAUUCCCUUAGUAGUGGCGAGCGAACGGGGACCAGCCCUUAAGUUGAUUUGAGAUUAGUGGAACGCUCUGGAAAGUGCGGCCAUAGUGGGUGAUAGCCCCGUACACGAAAAUCUCUUGUCAAUGAAAUCGAGUAGGACGGAGCACGAGAAACUUUGUCUGAAUAUGGGGGGACCAUCCUCCAAGGCUAAAUACUACUGACUGACCGA
rnacentral:rRNA from 1 species